AUUGAACGCUGGCGGCAUGCCUUACACAUGCAAGUCGAACGGCAGCGCGGGGCAACCUGGCGGCGAGUGGCGAACGGGUGAGUAAUAUAUCGGAACAUACCCUAGAGUGGGGGAUAACGUAGCGAAAGUUACGCUAAUACCGCAUACGCACUAAGGUGGAAAGUGGGGGAUUCGCAAGAACCUCAUGCUCAUGGAGUGGCCGAUAUCUGAUUAGCUAGUUGGUGAGGUAAAGGCUCACCAAGGCGACGAUCAGUAGCUGGUUUGAGAGAACGACCAGCCACACUGGAACUGAGACACGGUCCAGACUCCUACGGGAGGCAGCAGUGGGGAAUUUUUGGGACAAUGGGGGGCAACCCUGAUCCAGCAAUGCCGCGUGAGUGAAGAAGGCCUGGUUGUAGG
rnacentral:rRNA from 1 species